AGAACAUACCGUUUGGAAUCAUUUAGUAAGUAUUCAUGGACAAAAUAUAAUUCACAUCAGUCUGUAAUUCAGAUACCUUUUAGGCCAGCAGAGAAGGCCUUGCAGGCCCUGACGGCCCACCACUGGAUCUAGCAAUUGUGACACUUGUAAACUGUCAGACCAGGUGUGCACUCUUCGUGGGCCCAUUGUUCACAUUUAAUACAUUGCACCCACACCUCCGCAGGCUGUGAUUUUGUUGUUUUUAUUUAGUAUUUAUUAAUAUGCAGUGCAUUUUAUUCAUUUGUGUUUUUGAAUGGACUGGCCACUUUACCUGACACAUCCCCACAAUCCCUCCAAUCACUGAGCGCCCUGCGUAAUCAGUGCACCUGUGUGCGCUGAUCAGAGGGAUAUAAAGAGGAGACGACAGCACACGUGAGGUGUGCUCCAGAGACUCUGCAGUGGGUGGAAGCUUCAAGGGAGGACGGCACGCACACACAGCGGAUCAGGACCACGCUGGGACCGCCAGUGCUCCAACGCGAUGUACAUGCAGAGGCAGGGGAAACCCUGCCUGGCCCGGUUCCAGACCCAGCCCGGAGGGAGCUCGGCGAGCAGGCGGGUGUGUGACGUCAUACCCCCACGCAUCGAAGCAGAGGAAGACGCCGCCUUCGUGGGGAGACCUGCCACGCGUGACCGAGGGAUCCCCGGACUGGAUCCCAGGAGCAGCACAGAGGACCUUGGAGCUUAGAGACCGACAUUUGUUUUUUUUAUUUAUUCUUUUAGAUAUAGCCCCAUUUGUUUUAUUGAGCUGACUGACUGAACUGACUGAAUUUUAUUUGUGGGCUGGACUGAUUUUAAUAUAAUUUAUUAGAGCGA